GGUCAGCAGGGAAUUGCAGACAGCAGUGGCGCCAGACCAGGAGUGUGCGCGGCGGACGGGCACCGACGGGGUUCCAGGACCCCGUUCGGAGGAAGAUGGCGCAACCGCAAGAUUACGGGUCAUAAAAGAAAGCACCGGAGACGGACGCCUUUGGAGGCGUGACGUCAUGAAGCACUGGCUCGCUCCGUUUCCUGCGAUCGCCAGGCUGCCCCACGCAAGCGCAGCCAGAAGAAACGUGCGCAGCGCUCUCCUCUACUCCUUUAGGAGCAACGUCACCACGCCUAGCCUUAUUUCUACAUGACGUCAGCAAAUUUCGCACCGUGUCAUGACGCCAGAAUAAAGUCGAUGACACCAGGUCCGCCAUGUCUAAAAGACUUUAGUUUGACAUUAAAAUAUACGGAUUUUCGUA